UUAACUCAAAUUUGUGUAUGGAGUUGGAACGUUUGCCUACGUUUGCCGCUAGGGGCGCUGUUCCAACUAAAUGCAAAUUUGAGUUA
rfam:Bombyx mori DNA, contig: Bm_scaf29_contig18486, strain: p50T/Dazao, build 2, whole genome shotgun sequence.